UCGAUUUGGAGGUUGUGCCCUUGAGGCGUGGCUUCCGGAGCUAACGCGUUAAAUCGACCGCCUGGGGAGUACGGCCGCAAGGUUAAAACUCAAAUGAAUUGACGGGGGCCCGCACAAGCGGUGGAGCAUGUGGUUUAAUUCGAUGCAACGCGAAGAACCUUACCUACUCUUGACAUCCAGAGAAUUCGCUAGAGAUAGCUUAGUGCCUUCGGGAACUCUGAGACAGGUGCUGCAUGGCUGUCGUCAGCUCGUGUUGUGAAAUGUUGGGUUAAGUCCCGCAACGAGCGCAACCCUUAUCCUUUGUUGCCAGCGAUUCGGUCGGGAACUCAAAGGAGACUGCCGGUGAUAAACCGGAGGAAGGUGGGGAUGACGUCAAGUCAUCAUGGCCCUUACGAGUAGGGCUACACACGUGCUACAAUGGCGUAUACAAAGAGAAGCGAACUCGCGAGAGCAAGCGGACCUCAUAAAGUACGUCGUAGUCCGGAUUGGAGUCUGCAACUCGACUCCAUGAAGUCGGAAUCGCUAGUAAUCGUAGAUCAGAAUGCUACGGUGAAUACGUUCCCGGGCCU
rnacentral:rRNA from 1 species